rnacentral:rRNA from 1 species
AUUGAACGCUGGCGGCAUGCUUUACACAUGCAAGUCGAACGGUAACAGGCCGCAAGGUGCUGACGAGUGGCGAACGGGUGAGUAAUGCAUCGGAACGUGCCCAGUCGUGGGGGAUAACGCAGCGAAAGCUGCGCUAAUACCGCAUACGAUCUAUGGAUGAAAGCGGGGGACCGUAAGGCCUCGCGCGAUUGGAGCGGCCGAUGUCAGAUUAGGUAGUUGGUGGGGUAAAGGCUCACCAAGCCAACGAUCUGUAGCUGGUCUGAGAGGACGACCAGCCACACUGGGACUGAGACACGGCCCAGACUCCUACGGGAGGCAGCAGUGGGGAAUUUUGGACAAUGGGCGCAAGCCUGAUCCAGCAACGCCGCGUGCAGGAUGAAGGCCUUCGGGUUGUAAACUGCUUUUGUACGGAACGAAAAGGCUCUGGUUAAUACCUAGGGCUCAUGACGGUACCGUAAGAAUAAGCACCGGCUAACUACGUGCCAGCCGCCGCGGUAAGAC